UACAGAGGGGGCGAGCGUUGUUCGGAAUUACUGGGCGUAAAGGGCGCGUAGGCGGCCUUCUAAGUCGAACGUGAAAUCCCCGGGCUCAACCCGGGAACUGCGUCCGAUACUGGGAGGCUUGAAUCCGGGAGAGGGAUGUGGAAUUCCAGGUGUAGCGGUGAAAUGCGUAGAUAUCUGGAGGAACACCGGUGGCGAAGGCGGCAUCCUGGACCGGUAUUGACGCUGAGGCGCGAAAGCCAAGGGAGCAAACGGG
rnacentral:rRNA from 1 species